UAUGUUAAGUGAAAAACAUAUUACCGGUAGAGCAAGUUACCGUAUAAAAUCCAAAAAUAAACCUAAAACAAAGAAGCAAAUCUUCUCUCAAUUCUGGGGGCGAACCAAGAAGCAGAUAUUAUCUCGAAUUUUCUCAAUGAUGAACUCCUUUCAGCAUUCUGUCAAUCAAUGAAGGUUUCAAGAUUCCAUUAGUGAGGGCUCUCUCUCUUAUUCUUUCUGAUUUCAUACAGUGGCGAAAGUGGAGAUGGAAAAACUGAGACAGCUAAAAUUGCAAUGCAAUACUUGAUUGCUCUUGGUGGUGGCAGUUAUGGGAUAGAGUCUGAAAUCCUUUGGACAAAUUAUAUACUGGAAGCAUUUGGGAAUGCAAAAACCUCAAGGAAUGACAACUCUAGCCAAUUAGGAAGUUGAUUGAUAUUCAUUUUACUUCACUGGGGAAGAUAUGUGGUACUAAAAUCCAAACCUGUAAGCAUGUUUGAUAUUGAAUAAUUGUUGUCAUGUUAUGCUAUUUUUGUGAUGCAUACCAAUCGAGUUUACUGAUUUAAUUUCUGUUAUAACCCCAUGCUUAAUUUACCGAUAAUAAUUGUGAAUAGUUCUAUAGAAAAGGAAACAAGUUGCCCCAUCUAAGUGCCUGGAACUUUUAUAUAUUCAUUUUUCACUUAUGAACUUAUCAGUCUCCUUUAAGCAGUCAAGAGUAAUGCAACUGGUAAAUGGAGAGAGGUCAUACCAUGUCUUUUACCAACUUUUUGCUGGUGCUUCUUCAGUUCUUAAAGGUAGGACUUUCAUUUUUAAUCAAUCCACUCAGGUUUCUCAAAGUUCAAUUUUUUAGUUUGGCCGAUUCACAUUCUUUCAUCAUGCAUACCUUAGAAAAUUAGAAAAUUAGAAAAUUAGUGAGUCUUGGUUCAAAUAUCAUAGCAUAACAUAUGUAUGGAGGGAUUUUAGACUUGCACAGAUUUCUAAUAUGAUACUGACCUUAGAAAAUUAGUGAGUCUUGGUUCAAAUAUCAUAGCAUAACAUAUGUCCAAAACACUAGCUGCAGAUCCAUGUUAAAGGCCAGUUAACAUGGUUAAUGUCCAUGCACCUUAUAUUAACCAUACAGUUUCAGUAAUUUUCUAUGAUGUCACCUUGACUACCUACCCAUUACAUAAUACUUUGCGUUAUUUUGGUAUCCAUUUCAGACAUAGACAUAUAUGUCUAUCUUGCUAAAUUGGUCUUCCAUUCACCAUUGUUUGGGUGCCCAUAACUCAUUAUCAGAUAUAAUGAUUGUGACAAUGAUAUCCAUGUAUUUGGCAUCCAUCACUUUGUUAUUGGUCACUAUUCUGAAGGGCCAUGGCAUGAAAGUUUUAAGCAGGAAUAUAGUAUGUAUACAUUCCGAAAGGUAGAAAAAAGAUGCGGUCAAUAAGAUGCUGGCAACCUUAAGCAUGUUUUACCCCACUAACUAACUGAUACAGUCCUUUGAGCAGGUUAGGUAUUUAUUGACAUUAAUAUCCCAUUGAUUCAUUAUUUUCAUGUUCCUUUUUAUCAAGUGUUGUUCUAAUCACACUAUCACACUUCUUAAUGUGAUAAAAUUGCAGGCUGCGAGAAAAACUACAGAGAUGGCUACAAAUAAAGCUACCACUGCUGCUAGAGUUGCUUUUGUCAAAAUUGUUUAGAUACAGAUGGAUGGGAAAUUUUUCAAUACAAAUAGCUAAGAGAUUGGCUUUGUUUGAUUUUGUUAAUUUUACUAAUUUUCGUAUUUUAAUGAUGUCAACCCAGUGAGCAAAGCUCAUUGGAAGGUGAGAGAGGGAGAAAGAGAUUAUGUUUAAGGUUUUGUCAAAGACACUGUAACUUGUAUAUACAUUAUUUACAUCAAUGGAAGAUGAAUUUUGAAAGAUUAAAA